rnacentral:rRNA from 1 species
CAAUAGCGUAUAUUAAAGUUGUUGCAGUUAAAAAGCUCGUAGUUGGAUUUCUGGUUGAAGCGACCGGUCGGGCGUUGAUUCGUCUGCACUGGAGUCGGUUUUGGCCAUCCUCUAGGAAAGUGCGUCUGGUAUUAAGUUAUCGGGCGUAUGAUCCUGGUCUUUUACUGUGAAAAAAUUAGAGUGUUUAAAGCAGGCCUUCGCCUUGAACACAUUAGCAUGGAAUAAUAAGAUAGGACUUUGGUCUAUUUUGUUGGUUUGCAGACCGAAGUAAUGAUUAAUAGGGAUAGUUGGGGGUAUUUAUAUUCCGAUGUCAGAGGUGAAAUUCUUAGAUUUUCGGAAGAUAAACUUAUGCGAAAGCAUUUACCAAGGAUGUUUNCAUUAA